AUUGAACGCUGGCGGCAGGCCUAACACAUGCAAGUCGAACGAGUGGCGGACGGGUGAGUAAUGUCUGGGAAACUGCCUGAUGGAGGGGGAUAACUACUGGAAACGGUAGCUAAUACCGCAUACCAUCGGAUGAGCCCAUAGGGGAUUAGCUCGCAGGUGGGGUAACGGCUUACCGAGGCGACGAUCCCUAGCUGGGCCGAGAGGAUGACCAGCCACACUGGAACUGAGACACGGUCCAGACUCCUACGGGAGGCAGCAGUGGGGAAUAUUGCACAAUGGGCGCAAGCCUGAUGAAGCCAUGCCGCGUGUAUGAAGAAGGCCUUCGGGUUGUAAAGUACUUUCAGCGGGGAGGCGUUACCCGCAGAAGAAGCACCGGCUAACUCCGUGCCAGCAGCCGCGGUAAUAC
rnacentral:rRNA from 1 species